UCUUAAACCCACACCCUGGAUACCCUGCACACACCGGCAGAUUGACUCAGCUUCCGUAUCGCUCUCCCUUCUCCAUCUCUGUGUCUCUAUCCCUCCCUGCUCUCUCCGCUGGUGGAUUUUAGCCCCCUGCUAACACACCGCUAAGAUGUCUGACAAGCCUGACAUGACUGAGGUCGCCCGCUUCGACAAGACAAAGCUGAAGAAGACAGAGACAAAAGAGAAAAACCCUCUGCCCACCAAAGAGACGAUCGAGCAAGAGAGGAAAGGCGAUGCCACACCUUGACUUCUGAGCACACGAAGAAAAAAAGAAGCUGAGAUGCCACAGCAAAAAAAAGCACUUUCUUUUGAUUAUCACAGUAUUUCAAUCUCUUGCUUUGUCUUCAGAAAAAGGGUGCUCUUGAGCUCCCUGGGGUGCUGUAAGGGGUAUAUGGCAUCCUCACAUGGGGGCUCUCUUACCACUAGGGAUGAAAAACUUUAGCCUGGGUGCCUGCCUUGCACUGUUAGCAUGUAGCUAGCGUGUCCCAAUCGUUGCCAAACUGGGGAGUGGUGUAGUUGUGUAGUGGGGUAGCACAGGUAGUUAGAAAGGCAGGCCUCCAGGCUAGGGGGGAGGUGGGGAGGAUAGGGACUUGGGACUGGAGUCUAAUCAUGUGGGCUGUUUUCUUAAAAAAAACUUUUUACUUUUCUUUUUGAAAUAAAUAUGAAGACAUUCAA